AUGGACUAUCAGAAGAUGCGGCGGUGCGGCGACGGGUGCGACGGCGCGGUGGACGCCAUGCUGCAGUGCCAGAAGGUGAGCGACUUCCUCAUCGCGGCCUCCUACCUCUCCAUCCCGCUGGAGCUGCUCUACUUCGCCUCCUGCGCCGACCUCGCGCCCGUCAAGUGGCUGCUGCUCCAGCUCGCCGCCUUCGCCGUGCUCGGCGGCGCCGUCCACCUGCUCGCCGUCCUCACCCACCACCACCCGCACUCCUCCGGCCUCCUCCUCGCCUCCACCGCCGCAAAGCUCCUCGCCGCGCUCGUCUCCCUGGCCACCGCGCUCUCGCUCCUCACCUUCAUCCCGCGCCUCAUCCGCGCCAAGCUCCGCGAGGCCCUGCUCCGCGCCAAGGCGCGCCAGCUCCACCGCGACGUCGGCCUCAUCCGCCGCCGCGUCGAGGCCACCUCCCGCGUUGUCCGCAUGCUCUCCCGCCACAUCCGCGACUCCCCGCACGACCACCACGCCAUCCUCCACACCACCAUGCUCCACCUCGCCGACGCGCUCGCGCUGCACAGCUGCGCCGUCUGGGUGCCCGUGCCCGGCGACGUCCUCCAGCUGGUGUACCAGCUGAGCCUCAGAGACAAGGGCGCCGUCAUGCUGGGCUCGCGGGCCCCUAUCCCCGCCGUCGACCCUGACGUGGUCGACGUAAUGUCCGGCGUGGCCGCCAAGGUGCUCCGGCCGGGAUCGGCGCUUGCGGCGGCGAGCGGUGGCGGCCUGCAGCCUCCGGGGGGCGUGGCUGCCAUACGGAUGCCCAUGCUCAAGGUCUCCAAUUUCGACGGAGCGAGGACACCGGAGGCGAGGUCGUACGCCAUCUUGGUGCUGGUUCUGCCUGACACGGGACGAUGGAGCAGCCAAGACCUCGAGAUCGUGGAGGUCGUCGCCGACCAGGUCGCCGUGGCGCUCUCUCACGCGGCGGUACUCGAGGAGUGGCAGUCGAUCCGGGACAGGCUCGCCGAUCAGCACAGGGCCCUGCUGCAGGCGAAGAACGAAGCGGCGACGGCGACCACGGGCAUCCACUCCGUCCAGAGCGCCAUGUGCGGGGCCAUGCAGCGGCAGAUGCACUCCGUCAUCGGGCUGCUCUCCAUGCUGCAGCACGCCGCCGCCGCCGGCAUGCGGCCCGAGCAGAGGCUCGUCGUGGACGCCAUCGCCCGGACAAGCGCGCUCACGCUGGCGCUGGCGAACGACGCCGACGCGGAGACGCUGACGACGAGCCGCGUGCCGUUCGGGCUCCACGCGCUGGUCAGGGAGGCCAUGGCCGUCGCGCGAUGCAUGUCCGGCUGCAGCGGCGUUGAAUUCUCGUACCACUCGGAGAGCUCCCUGCCCCUGCCCGAGUGGGUGGUCGGCGACGAGACGAGGGUGUUCCAUCUCCUGCUGCACAUGGUGACCACUCUGCUAGGUCGCCGUUGCGAUGGCGCGGCGCCGGGCCGGCUCACGUUCUCCGUCGAGAGCUGCAAUGUGGGCGAGGAGGAGAGGUACAGCCGGGACGUGAUCCCGAUGAGACCAUCUGCAGGCUGCAGCAUGCGUGUCAAGUUUCAGGUUGGGAUGCAAACGAAGUUUCCCCGUCGAUCGGCCAGCUCCGACAUGGGGCUUAGCUUCGGCAUGUGCAACAAGAUCGUGCAGAUGAUGAACGGCAGCAUGCGAUCGUCGGGAUCGGACGGAGGAAGCAUCAUCACCGUCGUCCUGCAGUUCCAGCUGCAGCAGUCGGGCGUACGCCGGAGGACGUCGCCGCCAUCCAUCCCUCGCUUCGACGGCCUGAGGGUCCUGCUCGCGGACAGCGACGGCACGAGCCGGGGGGUGACCGGGAUGCUCCUCGAGAAGCUCGGGUGCCAGGUGAUGCCGGCGCCGUCGGGAGCCCACUGCCUGCGCCUGCUGGAGAGCGCCGGGUCGUGUUUCCAGCUGGUGCUUCUCGACCUCGACAAGCACGCUCCGGCAGCGACGAUGGAGGACGUGUUCGAGGUGGCGCUCCGGAUCGGCGAGCUGGGGAGCGGCGGCUGGCUGCUCGUGCUCGCCGCCCUCGCGGUCGGCGACGUCGACGACCGCGUCCUCGAGGUGUGCCAGCGGUCGGGGAUAAAUGGCGUGAUACAGAAGCCCGUCACGCUGGUGGCGCUCGGUGCCCAGCUCGCUGCAGCCCUUCAGAACAAUUAG
rnacentral:rRNA from 1 species